rnacentral:rRNA from 1 species
AUUGAACGCUGGCGGCAUGCCUAACACAUGCAAGUCGAACGGAAGCACGGAGCUUUCUCCUGGAUUCAGCGUCGCGCAGGGGUGUGUUACCUAUGAGUAUGCCUCCUAUUGGGGGGUAACGUCCGGAGACAGCCGCUAAUACCGCAUACGUGCUGAGCGAGAAAGAGGGGGGGCUUUGGACGUCUCGCUCUCAGAUGAGCCUAGGUCGGAUUAGCUAGUUGGUGGGGUAAAGGCCUACCAAGGCGACGAUCCGUAACUGGUCUGAGAGGAGGAUCAGUCACACUGGAACUGAGACACGGUCCAGACUCCUACGGGAGGCAGCAGUGGGGAAUAUUGGACAAUGGGCGAAAGCCUGAUCCAGCCAUGCCGCGUGUGUGAAGAAGGUCUUCGGAUUGUAAAGCACUUUAAGUUGGGAGGAAGGGCUGUAAGUUAAUACGGUGCGGUUUUGACGGUACCGGAAGAAUAAGCACCGGCUAACUACGUG